AGAACGAACGCUGGCGGCAGGCCUAACACAUGCAAGUCGAACGCCCGUAGCAAUACGGGAAUGGCAGACGGGUGAGUAACGCGUGGGAACGUACCUUUCGGUUCGGAAUAACCCGGGGAAACUCGGGCUAAUACCGGAUACGUCCGCAAGGAGAAAGAUUUAUCGCCGAAAGAUCGGCCCGCGUCGGAUUAGCUAGUUGGUGAGGUAACGGCCCACCAAGGCGACGAUCCGUAGCUGGUCUGAGAGGAUGAUCAGCCACACUGGACUGAGACACGGCCCAGACUCCUACGGGAGGCAGCAGUCGGAAUUUGCGCAAGUGGGACGAAAGCCUGACGC
rnacentral:rRNA from 1 species